rnacentral:rRNA from 1 species
UACGGGGGGAGCAAGCGUUGUUCGGAUUUACUGGGCGUAAAGGGCGCGUAGGCGGUCAGCACAAGUCAGUUGUGAAAUCUCCGGGCUUAACUCGGAAAGGUCAACUGAUACUGUGCGACUAGAGUGCGGAAGGGGCAACUGGAAUUCUCGGUGUAGCGGCGAAAUGCGUAGAUAUCGAGAGGAACACCUGCGGCGAAGGCGGGUAGCUGGGCCGACACUGACGCUGAGGCGCGAAAGCCAGGGGAGCGAACGGG